UGACAGUUAAGGGGUUAAGCAAAAACUGGGGGAGUUAUGUAACACAUACCUUGUAUUCAAAUAAAGAGCAUUUCGCUGACUGUCUUUAUUUUGACUGUCUUUUUUGCCUCACUGGGCAGGUCAGUAAGUAUGUUUACAUCUACCUCACCCUUAUCAUACUCCAACUCUUCUGAGGGGCAUUGCUCAAAAGUAGAAUUAAGAAAGCCAGGAUAACAGAAAAGGCGCGGCUUGACCUAGUUUAAUCAGCGCAUCCUGGCUUAGUCCGUUGCACGUUUGCUGAGCCAGGGUGAGAACGUGCAGCUAUGUCAAGCCAGGUGUAUAUAGUUGGGAUAAGUGCACGUUCACGGCAUUCUUAAACAGACCACGGGAUCGAUCUCAGAAUCAAUGAUGCAAAAAUGGAUAAAACCGGUGCGGCAUACUUCUCGCCAACUGAGCAACAGCUUCUAAUGGAAACAUAUGAAGAGGUGAAACAUAUAAUAUGUAAAAAGGGAAAUACAGCUGCUAUAAUAAAACAAAGAGAAAAUGCCUGGCAGACAAUAGCGGACCGAUUGAAUGCAUGAGUAGUCCAAAUAACCAGUGCUCCACUGAAGCCAUCAUAAUUACAAUUCAAGGAGUUAUUUGUCAUUUCCACAAAUUAACAGUUGUACACUUUGCCUUAAAUGUGACCAGUGGACAUGCAUGUUACUCAUGCAAACACAUGUAUGAUUAAUUGCAAACACUUAUCCACUAUGCGCAUCCAUCCAUCCAUCCAUCCAUCCAAAAGAACAAGCAUGUCUGGCCAAAAAAGGACCUGGCAGCAAGUCAAGAUUAAGUACAAGAACAUUUUGCAGGCUGCAUUUAAAAAAAAAGGCUCAUGUAUCUGGCACGGGGGGUGGCCCUCCAAACCAAGACUUCAUCACAGCAGAGGAGCUGGCCCUGGAGUUGAAUAAAGGGAAGCCAGUGAUGGAAGGGAUCCAGGGAGGGACAGCCACUGACUCUGGCCCAGCAAGAGAAACUGGCCUCUUCAUACAAAUGUCUGGUAACACACUUACACUUCUGGAGCCACCAGACUAUGAUCC